rnacentral:rRNA from 1 species
CAAGUCGAGCGGCAGCGCGGGGCAACCUGGCGGCGAGCGGCGAACGGGUUGAGUAAUGCAUCGGAACGUGUCCAUGUCGUGGGGGAUAGCCCGGCGAAAGCCGGAUUAAUACCGCAUACGCCCGAGAGGGGAAAGUGGGGGACCGCAAGGCCUCACGCGAUUGGAUCGGCCGAUGUCCGAUUAGCUAGUUGGCGGGGUAAGAGCCCACCAAGGCGAUGAUCGGUAGCUGGUCUGAGAGGAUGAUCAGCCACACUGGGACUGAGACACGGCCCAGACUCCUACGGGAGGCAGCAGUGGGGAAUUUUGGACAAUGGGGGCAACCCUGAUCCAGCCAUUCCGCGUGAGUGAAGAAGGCCUUCGGGUUGUAAAGCUCUUUUGUCCGGAACGAAACGGUGGACGUGAAUAUCGUCCACUACUGACGGUACCGGAAGAAUAAGCACCGGCUAACUACGUGCCAGCAGCCGCGGUAAUACGUAGGGUGCGAGCGUUAAUCGGAAUUACUGGGCGUAAAGCGUGCGCAGGCGGUUUUGUAAGCCAGAUGUGAAAUCCCCGGGCUUAACCUGGGAAUGGCAUUUGGGACUGCAAGGCUCGAGUGCGGCAGAGGAGACUGGAAUUCCUGGUGUAGCAGUGAAAUGCGUAGAUAUCAGGAGGAACACCGAUGGCGAAGGCAGGUCUCUGGGCUGACACUGACGCUCAUGCACGAAAGCGUGGGGAGCAAACAGGAUUAGAUACCCUGGUAGUCCACGCCCUAAACGAUGUCGACUGGUUGUUGGGGGUUUGACACUCUCAGUAACGAAGCUAACGCGUGAAGUCGACCGCCUGGGGAGUACGGCCGCAAGGUUAAAACUCAAAGGAAUUGACGGGGACCCGCACAAGCGGUGGAUUAUGUGGAUUAAUUCG